UGGGGAAUAUUGGACAAUGGGGGCAACCCUGAUCCAGCCAUGCCGCGUGAGUGAUGAAGGCCCUAGGGUUGUAAAGCUCUUUUGUGCGGGAAGAUAAUGACGGUACCGCAAGAAUAAGCCCCGGCUAACUUCGUGCCAGCAGCCGCGGUAAUACGAAGGGGGCUAGCGUUGCUCGGAAUCACUGGGCGUAAAGGGUGCGUAGGCGGGUUUCUAAGUCAGAGGUGAAAGCCUGGAGCUCAACUCCAGAACUGCCUUUGAUACUGGAAGUCUUGAGUAUGGCAGAGGUGAGUGGAACUGCGAGUGUAGAGGUGAAAUUCGUAGAUAUUCGCAAGAACACCAGUGGCGAAGGCGGCUCACUGGGCCAUUACUGACGCUGAGGCACGAAAGCGUGGGGAGCAAAACAGGAUUAGAUACCCUGGUAGUCCACGCCGUAAACGAUGAAUGCCAGCCGUUAGUGGGUUUUACUCACUAGUGGCGCAGCUAACGCUUUAAGCAUUCCGCCUGGGGAGUACGGUCGCAAGAUUAAAACUCAAAUGAAUUGACGGGGUCAUAGCUGUUUCCU
rnacentral:rRNA from 1 species